AUUGAACGCUGGCGGCAGGCCUAACACAUGCAAGUCGAGCGACCGGCGCACGGGUGAGUAACACGUAUCCAACCGGCCCUUUACUCGGGGAAAGCCUUUCGAAAGAAAGAUUAAUACCCGUUGUAAGGGCGGGGGAUGCGUUCCAUUAGGUUGUUGGGGGGGUAACGGCUCACCAAGCCUUCGAUGGAGAGGGGUUCUGAGGGGAAGGUCCACCAGAAUGGAACUGAGACACGGUCCAAAAUCGUACGGGAGGCAGGAGUGAGGAAUAUUGGGCAAUGGGCGUUAGCCUGACCCAGCCAAGUAGCGGGAAGGAUGAAGGCUUAUGGGUCGUAAACUUCUUUUAUAUAAGAAUAUGUAUUAUAUGAAUAAGGAUCGGCUAACUCCGUGCCAGCAGCCGCGGUAAUUC
rnacentral:rRNA from 1 species